UGCUCGCCGAGCCGGUGAGUUUGGUUGCAAAUAUUUCAUCACCCUGCUAGUUUCAGGUCACCUUGUGUCCUUCGGUGAGUCAGUGUCCAGCGGUACCAGAUGAUUCUCACCAUGGAGUACACCCACCAGCAGUGCCCGCCCCCCGCAACCCAACCGUCCCCUGGGAGGAAUGGUCUAUCACUCUGAAAAACUGAUAUCAACGCAAUUAGUGACUGGAAAAGGAGGAAGGUCUUAGGUUGAGAUUCGAGACGAUCCAAAAGUCAACACCUAUGUCUGAGACCGAGCGUCAUCGACUGGAUUUGUUAAACAAACAUGCAAGGUUCCCUGAAGGUUAAAACAGCAAAAUCAGGAAGAGAUUAAAGGAUCCAAAGGUCAUUAAAAAGUUCUUCACAGUCAACAGGAGGAGAAUGAGCGCUGGCUCGAAAAAUACUUCAUAACAAUGAGCUAUUCAGCAGUGGAAAAAAAAUGUCUUUGGCAGCCA